UUAUUGCCAGUUCUGUUGUUCCACUUU
rnacentral:piRNA from 1 species